CAAUGUGGGCUGUCACGUGACCCACUCCGGCCGGCGGGACUCCCUAGCGUCCAGUCCAGUGAAUGGGACCGAAAACAUUGCUAGGAUCUCGAUCUGCACGACUGUCAUCAUGUUGUAAUCCGCUUUCCGGUGUGUGUUUUUGUGUAUAUUUUAAAAAUUUUCCAAUUGAAACUAUAGAGGCGUUGAAAUUUAUUUUCGGUGACCCUUUUUUGAAUUUUGUAACGUUCCGAACGAUGGGAUUAAAUCCGGUUUCUCACUUACCAAAUCCAUCAUUGGAGCGUGUAAAUUUUCCAUAACAAUGGCGACUUUUGACACGCGAUUUAAUUUUGUGCACAAACAGGAUGAAAUUGAUACGCCUUGUGCUGGUGGCCGAACCCGCAUUUUUAAUCGGAAGGCUGGGAAAAACAUGGGACAUGGAACAUGGGACAUUACGCUGUUCAAUUUUGAAUACAUUUGACGUUUGACGGAACAGCAUAAAUAUCACCGCUGAAGAGACUGUGUCCCAUGGCGGAAGAGAGAGCAAACUACUCCUGACUGACAGGGGGGUUCCUCCUGUUGGAAUUGAUUUUCCACCGACAAACAGCGCCGGAGGAACGCAGGAUUUCUGUAGCUGUCACGUGACGGGCGCGAGUUUGAGAUGAAGCGUUAGCUGACACGUGUCCGGCGAUGAACACAAUUGGGGAAGAAAACAGCUACAACUACCGAGCGCACCGGGAUCUCUUCGGAUGGGGAAAUCAUCAUAUUUUCAUGUUCAUCUUUGACGCGGGGUGAAGACGAGCUGACUGAUGGAACAGCGGUGGAAU